AUUAAAAUUUGAAAGAGCUUAGGUUGAAUGGUUCAUGAGUAAAUGCAACAACAUGAAUGGAAAAACCAUUUUUUUUAUCUUUCAAGAACCAUAACUCCUGAACGGUAAAAGUCAAAAUCGACAUUAUUGAAUUUGACCUCCAUUUUGUCAUCAGUAACAACAUAUCAAAAUUUGAAAAGCUUUGGUUGAACAGUUCAUGAGUAAAUGCACGGAC
rnacentral:lncRNA from 1 species